AUUGAACGCUGGCGGCAGGCCUAACACAUGCAAGUCGAGCGGAUGAAGGGAGCUUGCUCCUGGAUUCAGCGGCGGACGGGUGAGUAAUGCCUAGGAAUCUGCCUGGUAGUGGGGGAUAACGUCCGGAAACGGGCGCUAAUACCGCAUACGUCCUGAGGGAGAAAGUGGGGGAUCUUCAGACCUCACGCUAUCAGAUGAGCCUAGGUCGGAUUAGCUAGUUGGUGGGGUAAAGGCCUACCAAGGCGACGAUCCGUAACUGGUCUGAGAGGAUGAUCAGUCACACUGGAACUGAGACACGGUCCAGACUCCUACGGGAGACAGCAGUGGGGAAUAUUGGACAAUGGGCGAAAGCCUGAUCCAGCCAUGCCGCGUGUGUGAAGAAGGUCUUCGGAUUGUAAAGCACUUUAAGUUGGGAGGAAGGGCAGUAAGUUAAUACCUUGCUGUUUUGACGUUACCAACAGAAUAAGCACCGGCUAACUUCGUG
rnacentral:rRNA from 1 species